UGAUCCGGCGAGGUUCCUAGAUCCCGCCAACCAGAAGCCCGUCCACCGGCAUCCUGGCUGCCCCGGUAGCCGUGGUCGCCGUUGGUGUCUCCGUUCAGCACGGGCACCAUGACGGGUCAUCACGCAAGGUUGUCGCCGGAUCUGGCGACACCAAGCCUGACUACCAUCGGAUCUGAUCGUCGGCCUCCUCUGCUACUUCAAUUUCAGGAUUUUUGAAUGUUUGUGACAGAGAGCACGUGUUGUAGUUUUUUGAAAGAGACCAAAAUCUAUGAAAUUACUUCCCUGUAAUAUAUUUGAAUGCGGUGUUGCUAGUUGUGAAACAAAGUAAUGUGAAAUGGUUUGUGGCACAAUGUGAAAUUUAUAUUUCAAUCUGGUCAAACUGGAUUA